GUAGCGCCUUAGAGACCAACUAAGUUUGUUAUUGGUAUGAGCUUUCGUGUGCAUGCACACUUCUUCAGAUACACUUCUUCAGAUCAUACCAAUAACAAACUUAGUUGGUCUCUAAGGUGCUAC